ACAGCAGUAGCCACGGUAAUACGUAGGUGGCAAGCGUUGUCCGGAAUUAUUGGGCGUAAAGGGCUCGCAGGCGGUUUCUUAAGUCUGAUGUGAAAGCCCCCGGCUCAGCCGGGGAGGGUCAUUGGAAACUGGGAAACUUGAGUGCAGAAGAGGAGAGUGGAAUUCCACGUGUAGCGGUGGAAUGCGUAGAGAUGUGGAGGAACACCAGUGGCGAAGGCGACUCUCUGGUCCGUAACUGACGCUGAGGAGCGAAAGCGUGGGGAGCGAACAGGAUUAGAUACCCCCGUAGUCCCUGUCUCUUAUAC
rnacentral:rRNA from 1 species